GAUGAACGCUAGCUACAGGCUUAACACAUGCAAGUCGAGGGACCGGCGCACGGGUGAGUAACACGUAUCCAACCUGCCCUUUACUCGGGGAUAGCCUUUCGAAAGAAAGAUUAAUACCCGAUGUAAAGGAUGGGGAUGCGUUCCAUUAGGUUGUUGGUGAGGUAACGGCUCACAAAGCCUUCGAUGGAUAGGGGUUCUGAGAGGAAGGUCCCCCAGAUUGGAACGAAGACACGGUCCAAACGCGUACGGGGGGCAGGAGUGAAGAAUAUUGGGCAAUGGGCGUUAGCCUGAACCAGCCAAGUAGCGGGAAGGAUGAAGGCUUAUGGGUCGUAAACUUCUUUUAUAUAAGAAUAUGUAUUAUAUGAAUAAGGAUCGGCUAACUCCGUGCCAGCAGCCGCGGUAAUUC
rnacentral:rRNA from 1 species